UGCACUUAAUAUGACUCCAUCAGUAUGGGGCAAGCCCAGAAGGAAGAGGGCAACUCUGAAGUUUAUGGUCUACACUGGGAUAAGAUUGAGCUCCAGUUGUUCUCAAUGUUGUACCCAAAGAAGAUAUUGUCAUGGAAACAGCAAACCUGAAAUAAAAUCCAUCUACCAACUAAUGAGCAUGUGAUUUGGAGCAAGUCACUCUAGCCUUCUGAACAUCCACUUCCUUACAUAAUGGCUAUAGUGUUAAAUGGAUAAAAUGAAAACUACCUCCAAGAAGAUGGUAUAAAAGGGCCUUCGAGGGAAAGAACUGGGAAAAGACAGUCAUGCCUUUCUGUGAUGCAGUUUUCCAGGUAAAUAAUGAAGGUACAAGCAGACCAAGAGAGCUCGCCAAGUUGAAAGAGUACUGAAUCAAUAAGUCUACCCUUCACUCAAGGGGAGAGGAUGACAAUGACACAAAAGCAAGAAUGCCAGGAUUCAGGGAUCACUUGGAGCCAUGUUGGAUGUUGCCUACCCCAGAAGUGGUGAUAAUGAGUUUUCCUUGCCUCUAUCCUAAGAUUAUCACUACUUUCAAUAUUUCACCAUUAAGUAUGCUCGUUUAUAUAUAUUUUUUAUCCUUUCUUUAGAUUGAGAAAGUUCUCUUCUCAGAAUCGCUAAAAAGUUGUUUUUUUAUUCAUGAAUAUGUAUUGGAUUUUAUCAAUGCUUUCUCUGCAUCUACUGAGAUAAUUAUAUAAUUUUCUCCUUUGUCUUCUUAAUGUGAGAGUUUGAAUUGAUUUUUUAAAUGUUAAUUAGCCAUGCUUUUCUGAUAUGAACCCAACAUGGUUGUGAUACUAUAUAUUUUAU